UACGUAGGGUGCGAGCGUUAAUCGGAAUUACUGGGCGUAAAGGGCUCGUAGGUGGCCAACUAAGUCAGACGUGAAAUCCCUCGGCUUAACCGGGGAACUGCAUCUGAUACUGGAUGGCUUGAGUUCGGGAGAGGGAUGCGGAAUUCCAGGUGUAGCGGUGAAAUGCGUAGAUAUCUGGAGGAACACCGGUGGCGAAGGCGGCAUCCUGGAUCGACACUGACGCUGAGGAGCGAAAGCCAGGGGAGCAAACGGG
rnacentral:rRNA from 1 species